rnacentral:rRNA from 1 species
CGUGAGUGAUGACGGCCUUAGGGUUGUAGAGCUCCUUUCAUCAGGGACGAUAAUGACGGUACCUCGAAGAAGAAGACCCCGGCUAACUUCGUGC